rnacentral:rRNA from 1 species
GACGAACGCUGGCGGCGUGCUUAACACAUGCAAGUCGAACGGAAAGGCCCUGCUUUUGUGGGGUGCUCGAGUGGCGAACGGGUGAGUAACACGUGAGUAACCUGCCCUUGACUUUGGGAUAACUUCAGGAAACUGGGGCUAAUACCGGAUAGGAGCUCCUGCUGCAUGGUGGGGGUUGGAAAGUUUCGGCGGUUGGGGAUGGACUCGCGGCUUAUCAGCUUGUUGGUGGGGUAGUGGCUUACCAAGGCUUUGACGGGUAGCCGGCCUGAGAGGGUGACCGGGCCCAUUGGGCUUGAGGAACCGGCCGGACUGCAUCGGGCGGCAUGGGUGGGGGAUUUUGGAAAAAGGGCCGCAGGCUGGAGGAAGAACUCCGGGUGGGGGAUCACUGCCUUUGGGUUGGAAAACGCUUUUGCCUGUGACGGAACGUGAGGGAAGUUAAUGGGUAAAGAAGCACCGGCUAACUACGUG